CAAUAGCGUAUAUUAAAGUUGUUGCGGUUAAAAAGCUCGUAGUUGGAUUUCUUCUCUUGUCAACCGGUCCUUACUUCGUAAGAGUAUCUGGUCAGAUUUGAGAAUCCUCUUAAGGCACAUCGCUGAGCUUAAUUGCUUGGCAUGGGACUUAAGACUUUUACUUUGAGGAAAUUGGAGUGUUCACGGCAGGCAUUCGCCUUGUACACAUUAGCAUGGAAUAAUAAUAUAGGAUCACGACCCUAUUUUGUUGGUUUCUAGAGUUGUGAUAAUGAUUAAUAGGGACAAUUGGGGGCAUUUGUUAUUAACACGUCAGAGGUGGAAUUCUUGGAUUGUGUUACGACAAAACUACUGCGAAAAGCAUUUUGCCAAGGAUGUUUUUCAUUGAUCAAGAACGAAAAGUAAAGGGGAGUCGAAGAUGAUUAGAU
rnacentral:rRNA from 1 species